rnacentral:rRNA from 1 species
UGAGGUGACUGAGUGGCGGACGGGUGAGUAACGCGUGGGUAACCUACCCUAUACAGGGGGAUAACAGUUGGAAACGACUGCUAAUACCACAUAAGCGCACAGGACCGCAUGGGUCUAGUGUGAAAAACUCCGGUGGUAUAGGAUGGACCCGCGUCUGAUUAGCUAGUUGGUGAGGUAACGGCUCACCAAGGCGACGAUCAGUAGCCGACCUGAGAGGGUGACCGGCCACAUUGGGACUGAGACAGGCCCAAACUCCUACGGGAGGCAGCAGUGGGGAAUAUUGCACAAUGGGCGAAAGCCUGAAUGCAGCGACGCCGCGUGAACGAAGAAGUAUUUCGGUAUGUAAAGUUCUAUCAGCAGGGAAGAAAAUGACGGUACCUGACUAAGAAGCUCCGGCUAAAUACGUGCCAGCCGCCGC